UACGGAGGGAGCUAGCGUUGUUCGGAAUUACUGGGCGUAAAGCGCGCGUAGGCGGCUUUGUAAGUUAGAGGUGAAAGCCCGGGGCUCAACCCCGGGAUUGCCUUUAAGACUGCAUCGCUUGAAUCCGGGAGAGGUGAGUGGAAUUCCGAGUGUAGAGGUGAAAUCCGUAGAUAUUCGGAAGAACACCAGUGGCGAAGGCGGCUCACUGGACCGGCAUUGACGCUGAGGUGCGAAAGCGUGGGGAGCAAACAGG
rnacentral:rRNA from 1 species